rnacentral:tRNA from 2 species
GCCCUCAUCGUCUAGCCCGGCCCAGGACGUCGGAUUCUCAGUCCGAAGACAGGGGUUCAAAUCCCCUUGGGGGUA